AGGGUUCGAUUCUGGCUCAGAACGAACGCUGGCGGCAGGCCUAACACAUGCAAGUCGAGCGCGCCCUUCGGGGUGAGCGGCGGACGGGUUAGUAACGCGUGGGAACGUACCCUUUGGUAGGGAAUAGCCACUGGAAACGGUGAGUAAUACCCUAUGAGCCCUUCGGGGGAAAGAUUUAUCGCCAAAGGAUCGGCCCGCGUUAGAUUAGGUAGUUGGUGGGGUAAUGGCCUACCAAGCCUACGAUCUAUAGCUGGUUUUAGAGGAUGAUCAGCAACACUGGGACUGAGACACGGCCCAGACUCCUACGGGAGGCAGCAGUGGGGAAUCUUGGACAAUGGGGGCAACCCUGAUCCAGCCAUGCCGCGUGAGUGAAGAAGGCCUUAGGGUCGUAAAGCUCUUUCGCCUGUGAAGAUAAUGACGGUAGCAGGUAAAGAAACCCCGGCUAACUCCGUGCCAGCCGCCGC
rnacentral:rRNA from 1 species